rnacentral:rRNA from 1 species
GUGCCAGCCGCCGCGGUAAGACGAACCGAGCGAACGUUGUUCGGAAUCACUGGGCUUAAAGGGCGCGUAGGCGGGUGAUCAAGUCGGUGGUGAAAUCCUGCAGCUCAACUGCAGAACGGCCUCCGAUACUGGUCGUCUCGAGGAAGGUAGGGGUGUGUGGAACAGUUGGUGGAGCGGUGAAAUGCGUUGAUAUCAACUGGAACUCCGGUGGCGAAGGCGACACACUGGACCUUUUCUGACGCUGAGGCGCGAAAGCCAGGGGAGCAAACGGGAUUAGAUACCCCUGUAGUCC